rnacentral:rRNA from 1 species
GAUGAACGCUGGCGGCGUGCCUAAUACAUGCAAGUCGAGCGAACGGACGAGAAGCUUGCUUCUCUGAUGUUAGCGGCGGACGGGUGAGUAACACGUGGAUAACCUACCUAUAAGACUGGGAUAACUUCGGGAAACCGGAGCUAAUACCGGAUGAUAUUUUGAACCGCAUGGUUCAAAAGUGAAAGACGGUCUUGCUGUCACUUAUAGAUGGAUCCGCGCUGCAUUAGCUAGUUGGUAAGGUAACGGCUUACCAAGGCAACGAUGCAUAGCCGACCUGAGAGGGUGAUCGGCCACACUGGAACUGAGACACGGUCCAGACUCCUACGGGAGGCAGCAGUAGGGAAUCUUCCGCAAUGGGCGAAAGCCUGACGGAGCAACGCCGCGUGAGUGAUGAAGGUCUUCGGAUCGUAAAACUCUGCUAUUAGGGAAGAACAGAUGUGUAAGUAACUGUGCACAUCUUGACGGUACCUAAUCAGAAAGCCACGGCUAACUACGUG